CGCCAUCAUCAAGAGAAGGGCUGGCGCCCUCGCCAACCUGCCGUUCCGGGCAAGGUGGUUUCCGCAACAGGGAUGCGGCUGGUCAGACCCUCAACCGAGGCUUUCCGGCAACUAAGCGGUUAAUU
rnacentral:ncRNA from 2 species